UACGUAGGUGGCAAGCGUUGUCCGGAUUUACUGGGCGUAAAGAGCGCGCAGGCGGUCGUUCAAGUCGCGUGUGCAAAGCCCCCGGCUCCAACUGGGGAGGGUCACGGCGAUGACUGAUCGGACUCGAAGGCAGGAGAGGGAAGUGGAAUUCCCGGUGUAGUGGUGAAAUGCGUGAGAUAGUCGGGAGGAACACCAGUGGCGAAGGCGGCAUCCUGGACCGACACUGACACUGAGGAGCGGAAAGCCAGGGGAGCAAACGGG
rnacentral:rRNA from 1 species